CCUACGGGAGGCAGCAGUGGGGAAUAUUGCACAAUGGGGGAAACCCUGAUGCAGCGACGCCGCGUGAGUGAAGAAGGAAUUCGUUACGGAAAGCUCUAUCAGCAGGGAAGAAAAUGACGGUACCUGAGUAAGAAGCCACGGCUAACUACGUGCCAGCAGCCGCGGUAAGACGCAGGGGGCAAGCGUUAUCCGGAUUUACUGGGUUUAAAGGGAGCGUAGACGGGGGGCCAAGUCCGGCGUGAAAUGCCGCCGCUUAACUGCGGAACUGCUUUGGAAACUGGCGAACUAGAGUGCGGGCGGGGUAAGCGUAAUUCCUAGUGUAGCGGUGAAAUGCGUAGAUAUUAGGAGGAACACCGGUGGCGAAGGCGGCUUACUGGACCGUAACUGACGUUGAGGCUCGAAAGCGUGGGGAGCAAACAGGAUUAGAUACCCCAGUAGUC
rnacentral:rRNA from 1 species